UACGUAGGGUGCAAGCGUUGUCCGGAUUCAUUGGGCGUAAAGGGUGCGUAGGCGGCGCGGUAAGUCGGGUGUGAAAUCUCGGAGCUUAACUCCGAAACUGCAUUCGAUACUGCUGUGCUUGAGGACUGGAGAGGAGACUGGAAUUUACGGUGUAGCGGUGAAAUGCGUAGAUAUUGUAAGGAAGACCAGUGGCGAAGGCGGGUCUCUGGACAGUUCCUGACGCUGAGGCACGAAGGCCAGGGGAGCAAACGGG
rnacentral:rRNA from 1 species